ACUAUAUGGAUGUAUUUUGUACUUUGUUAUUGAAUAAAAUCUUUUAGCUUUCUCUACAACUUUCAAAAUAAUAUUGAUAGCUUCUAUUAGGGGUGUCAAAAUGGGUCAAAAUUCAUGGGCCAACUCAACUCAACUCAACCCAUGAACCCUAAUGAGUUAAAUUUUUUGACUCAAAUGAGUUGAUGGGUCAAAUGAGUUAUUGGGUCAAUUGGUUUGAUGAGUCAAAUGAGUUGGGUUGUAAUGGUUAAUGGUUUCAAUGGUUUACCCAAUUAACCUAUCAAUUUUUGUAAAAUUGAAUUAAACCAACUAAAAUCUCUAAACCAAUAUCAAUUUAAGCUUAACCAACACAUCUAAACAA
rnacentral:sRNA from 1 species